GAUGAACGCUGGCGGCGUGCCUAAUACAUGCAAGUCGAGCGAACAGACGAGGAGCUUGCUCCUCUGACGUUAGCGGCGGACGGGUGAGUAACACGUGGAUAACCUACCUAUAAGACUGGGAUAACUUCGGGAAACCGGAGCUAAUACCGGAUAAUAUAUUGAACCGCAUGGUUCAAUAGUGAAAGACGGUUUUGCUGUCACUUAUAGAUGGAUCCGCGCCGCAUUAGCUAGUUGGUAAGGUAACGGCUUACCAAGGCAACGAUGCGUAGCCGACCUGAGAGGGUGAUAGGCCACACUGGAACUGAGCCACGGUCCUGACUCCUACGGGAGGCAGCAGUAGGGAAUCUUCCGCAAUGGGCGAAAGCCUGACGGAGCAACGCCGCGUGAGUGAUGAAGGUCUUCCGAUCGUAAAACUCUGUUAUUAGGGAAGAACAAAUGUGUAAGUAACUAUGCACGUCUUGACGGUACCUAAUCAGAAAGCCACGGCUAACUACGUG
rnacentral:rRNA from 1 species